UAGGGAAUAUUAGUAAUGGGCGAAAGCCUGAACUAGCAACACCGCGUGUGCGAUGAAGGCCUUCGGGUUGUAAAGCACUUUUAGAGAGGACGAGGAAGGACGGUACUCUCUGAAUAAGUCUCGGCUAACUACGUGCCAGCAGCCGCGGUAAAACGUAGGAGGCAAACGUUAUCCGGAUUUACUGGGCGUAAAGCGCGUGUAGGUGGUUUGUUAAGUAGGGCGUGAAAGCUCCUGGCUCAACUGGGAGAGGUCGUUCUAAACUAACAGACUAGAGGAUGGUAGAGGGAGGUGGAAUUCCGGGUGUAGCGGUGGAAUGCGCAGAUAUCCGGAGGAACACCAGUGGCGAAAGCGGCCUCCUGGACCAACCCUGACACUCAGACGCGAAAGCUAGGGUAGCAAACGG
rnacentral:rRNA from 1 species